rnacentral:rRNA from 1 species
AGCGAACGCUGGCGGCAGGCUUAACACAUGCAAGUCGAGCGGGCGUAGCAAUACGUCAGCGGCAGACGGGUGAGUAACGCGUGGGAACGUGCCCUUUGGUUCGGAACAACACAGGGAAACUUGUGCUAAUACCGGAUAAGCCCUUACGGGGAAAGAUUUAUCGCCGAAGGAUCGGCCCGCGUCUGAUUAGCUUGUUGGUGAGGUAACGGCUCACCAAGGCUACGAUCAGUAGCUGGUCUGAGAGGAUGAUCAGCCACACUGGGACUGAGACACGGCCCAGACUCCUACGGGAGGCAGCAGUGGGGAAUAUUGGAGAAUGGGGGCAACCCUGAUCCAGCCAUGCCGCGUGAGUGAUGAAGGCCCUAGGGUUGUAAAGCUCUUUCGGCGGGGAAGAUAAUGACGGUACCCGCAUAAGAAGCCCCGGCUAACUUCGUGCCAGCCGCCGCAGUAAAAC